rnacentral:lncRNA from 1 species
GUAACAAUACUCUAACUAUCUUACUUAUGACUAUAAUGAGUACCAAACUAUAAAAAUGUCAUAUUAUUCCAUGAGUAUCUUCUAUGCUCAUGAAUAUCUUAUCUUAGUGCCGGAGUCUGUGAGAAGGAGAAUAUUAGUAUUCCCAAUUAAUUUGCUUCAUAAGAUCCUGACAGAACAAGAAAAGGGCUGGACUUGAUGAUCUUGGAGGCUCCAUUCCGAGCCCUCAGCAGCUCCACGGCCAAAGGCAGGAGGGCACUGGAGCAGCCAGGGUGCUGGAUGAGCAGCAGCUCAUCCCAAAGGCAGAUCCAUCCCAACAGAACUCUGGCUCCGGCUCCAUCCCCACGGCUGCAUCUCCCCCUUCCGGCACAUCCACACCCAAAAAUGAAGGAAAACCCCGGCUCUGCUCCGAUCUCCCACACCUUUUGUUGGGAAGCCUUGGACCCAGCUGUGGGUCAGAUGGUGAAUCCCUGACUCCCUCAGGGAAGGGGUUUUGCCCAAAGCUGUGGCUCGACCCGAGGCUCUGCUCACGGUGCCGGGUGAUGAUCCGUGUGUUGUCUGCUUGUUUUUAGGGAAUGAUCCGUGUGUUGUCUGUUUGUUUUUAGGGAAUGCAGAGGUAGAAGACGACGAGGAGGAGAUCACACAGUUUUUAUUCGACUACGCAGCUCGUUACAGUGAUUACCUCUAUUCCACGGGAGACUAUUACUACGACAACACCACGGGAAUGCCCACCCCCUACACCUUUGAGAUGGAUUCCUACGAGACAAACACCAUCGGGGAUUUUGGGCAGUGGUUUCCACAAGAGGAUGCCACCACCAAGAUUUCGGGGAUACCAGACACGGAUGCUCCAGGGGAUUCCAGGAAUGCCAAGGACAGUCAGGAUUUCUGGGAGUCAGCAGGAUCACCCCUCCAGAGCCACCUCCCCCUCGUCACCCUCCUCAGUCUCCGGGGUCUCCUGCUAUGACCCCCCCAUGUUCCUCCUCCAAAGGCACAGCAGCUGGGAUGGAGAUCACAACUUCAUCAGGUGUUGGCAACGACAAACAACAUCCUCCCCCCACGAGGCGCCGCCUCCGCUCCGGAACCGCCGUGACUCUCCCGAAGGUUCCAACGGGGGGACUGUGACCACGGUGCAAACUCGGAGAGCUUUGUAAUGCCUCCAGUCCUUUCCUAUUUCCUCUGAUUCUGUUGUAAAUAGGAGCCCCUGCCAAUAAAAUCCCCGACAACCGGCGCA